rnacentral:lncRNA from 1 species
CUGUGGUUGUGACCAGUUGGAGAGACAUUAGGAGAUGAGAUACUAUGUUCACUCCUCACAGCUGUACCAGGGACCCGAGAUAUUCCAUCACUAUUCUAUGAGAUUUUGGAGAUCCCACCAGUGGUUUUCUGGUGCCAGGGUAUGAGAAGAUAGUCUCCAUGUCCAAACUCACAAUUUCAAAACAAAUUUCAUCAAGAUAAAGCAGCUCUGUACCUUGCUGCUCUCCUUAAAGCCUGCCUCCAUCUAUAUGGUCUGGCUUGAUGAUAUCAAACCUGACGUGGCCUGAAGAGACAGACAAUGGCUCUUGCUAGCUAAUUAUUGUCAGAUGGAUCGGCAGCCGACCAACGCUUCUGAAAUUAUUGUUUUUGGCAAAUGUUCCUCAACAUUUUCCUGGUAUAUAAAUAAUAAUCCCUUGCAGAAA